CCUACGGGGUGCAGCAGUAGGGAAUUUUCGGCAAUGGGGGGAACCCUGACCGAGCAACGCCGCGUGAACGAAGAAGUUAUUCGUAAUGUAAAGUUCUUUUAACAGGGAAGAAAGAGAAAUUUGACGGUACCUGAAGAAUAAGCUCCGGCUAACUACGUGCCAGCAGCCGCGGUACUACGUAGGGAGCGAGCGUUAUCCGGAAUUAUUUGGCGUAAAGUGUGCGUAGAUGGCAUAGUAAGUCUUUGGGAAAAAUGCUGGGCUCAACCCAGUAGGGCAAAAGAUACUGCAAAGCUAGAGUAGGACAGAGGCAAGUGGAACUACAUGUGUAGCGGUAAAAUGCGUAAAUAUAUGUAAGAACACCAGUGGCGAAGGCGGCUUGCUGGGUCGAUACUGACAUUGAGGCACGAAAGCGUGGGGAGCAAACAGGAUUAGAUACCCUAGUAGUC
rnacentral:rRNA from 1 species